rnacentral:rRNA from 1 species
AGUCGAGCGAGCGGAACUACAGAUUUACUUCGGUAAUGACGUUAGGAAAGCGAGCGGCGGAUGGGUGAGUAACACGUGGGGAACCUGCCCCAUAGUCUGGGAUACCACUUGGAAACAGGUGCUAAUACCGGAUAAGAAAGCAGAUCGCAUGAUCAGCUUUUAAAAGGCGGCGUAAGCUGUCGCUAUGGGAUGGCCCCGCGGUGCAUUAGCUAGUUGGUAAGGUAAAGGCUUACCAAGGCGAUGAUGCAUAGCCGAGUUGAGAGACUGAUCGGCCACAUUGGGACUGAGACACGGCCCAAACUCCUACGGGAGGCAGCAGUAGGGAAUCUUCCACAAUGGACGCAAGUCUGAUGGAGCAACGCCGCGUGAGUGAAGAAGGUUUUCGGAUCGUAAAGCUCUGUUGUUGGUGAAGAAGGAUAGAGGUAGUAACUGGCCUUUAUUUGACGGUAAUCAACCAGAAAGUCACGGCUAACUACGUGCCAGCAGCCGCGGUAAUACGUAGGUGGCAAGCGUUGUCCGAAUUUAUUGGGCGUAAAGCGAGCGCAGGCGGAAGAAUAAGUCUGAUGUGAAAGCCCUCGGCUUAACCGAGGAACUGCAUCGGAAACUGUUUUUCUUGA